rnacentral:misc_RNA from 1 species
UACGUAGGUGGCAAGCGUUGUCCGGAAUUAUUGGGCGUAAAGCGCGCGCAGGCGGCCUCUUAAGUCUGAUGUGAAAGCUUCCGGCUCAACCGGAGAGGGUCAUUGGAAACUGGGAGGCUUGAGUAUAGGAGAGAAGAGCGGAAUUCCACGUGUAGCGGUGAAAUGCGUAGAGAUGUGGAGGAACACCAGUGGCGAAGGCGACUCUCUGGCCUAUAACUGACGCUGAGGCGUGAAAGCGUGGGUAGCAAACAGG